rnacentral:pre_miRNA from 1 species
AGAGGGAACUGUCAUCUAUUCCUACUGUUAAAACCUCGCAUAAUUGUCUGAAUAACCAAAUAGUGACAUGUGGCGUGCCAUGUAUACCUCAUGUUAACAUAAAGAGACCAGUUUUUAAUGGUAGAAAUGGAUAAAUUUUUAACA